AAAAAAAACUUUCAACAACGGAUCUCUUGGUUCUGGCAUCGAUGAAGAACGCAGCAAAAUGCGAUAAGUAAUGUGAAUUGCAGAAUUCAGUGAAUCAUCAAAUCUUUGAACGCACAUUGCGCCC
rnacentral:rRNA from 1 species